rnacentral:tRNA from 1 species
GCAUUGGUGGUUCAGUGGUAGAAUUUUCUCCUUCCAUGCAGGAGACCUGGGCUCAAUUCUUGGCCAAUGCA